rnacentral:rRNA from 1 species
GGCGUAGGCGAUGGAUAACAGGUUGAUAUUCCUGUACCACCUAUAAUCGUUUUAAUCGAUGGGGGGACGCAGUAGGAUAGGCGAAGCGUGCGAUUGGAUUGCACGUCUAAGCAGUAAGGCUGGGUAUUAGGCAAAUCCGGUACUCGUUAAGGCUGAGCUGUGAUGGGGAGAAGACAUUGUGUCUUCGAGUCGUUGAUUUCACACUGCCGAGAAAAGCCUCUAGAUAGAAAAUAGGUGCCCGUACCGCAAACCGACACAGGUAGUCAAGAUGAGAAUUCUAAGGUGAGCGAGCGAACUCUCGUUAAGGAACUCGGCAAAAUGACCCCGUAACUUCGGGAGAAGGGGUGCUCUUUAGGGUUAACGCCCAGAAGAGCCGCAGUGAAUAGGCCCAAGCGACUGUUUAUCAAAAACACAGGUCUCUGCUAAACCGUAAGGUGAUGUAUAGGGGCUGACGCCUGCCCGGUGCUGGAAGGUUAAGAGGAGUGGUUAGCUUCUGCGAAGCUACGAAUCGAAGCCCCAGUAAACGGCGGCCGUAACUAUAACGGUCCUAAGGUAGCGAAAUUCCUUGUCGGGUAAGUUCCGACCCGCACGAAAGGCGUAACGAUUUGGGCACUGUCUCAACGAGAGACUCGGUGAAAUCAUAGUACCUGUGAAGAUGCAGGUUACCCGCGACAGGACGGAAAGACCCCGUGGAGCUUUACUGUAGCCUGAUAUUGAAAUUCGGCACAGCUUGUACAGGAUAGGUAGGAGCCUUUGAAACGUGAGCGCUAGCUUACGUGGAGGCGCUGGUGGGAUACUACCCUAGCUGUGUUGGCUUUCUAACCCGCACCACUUAUCGUGGUGGGAGACAGUGUCAGGCGGGCAGUUUGACUGGGGCGGUCGCCUCCUAAAAGGUAACGGAGGCGCUCAAAGGUUCCCUCAGAAUGGUUGGAAAUCAUUCAUAGAGUGUAAAGGCAUAAGGGAGCUUGACUGCGAGACCUACAAGUCGAGCAGGGUCGAAAGACGGACUUAGUGAUCCGGUGGUUCCGCAUGGAAGGGCCAUCGCUCAACGGAUAAAAGCUACCCCGGGGAUAACAGGCUUAUCUCCCCCAAGAGUUCACAUCGACGGGGAGGUUUGGCACCUCGAUGUCGGCUCAUCGCAUCCUGGGGCUGUAGUCGGUCCCAAGGGUUGGGCUGUUCGCCCAUUAAAGCGGUACGCGAGCUGGGUUCAGAACGUCGUGAGACAGUUCGGUCCCUAUCCGUCGUGGGCGUAGGAAAUUUGAGAGGAGCUGUCCUUAGUACGAGAGGACCGGGAUGGACAUACCUCUGGUGUACCAGUUGUCGUGCCAACGGCAUAGCUGGGUAGCUAUGUGUGGACGGGAUAAGUGCUGAAAGCAUCUAAGCAUGAAGCCCCCCUCAAGAUGAGAUUUCCCAACUUCGGUUAUAAGAUCCCUCAAAGAUGAUGAGGUUAAUAGGUUCGAGGUGGAAGCAUGGUGACAUGUGGAGCUGACGAAUACUAAUCGAUCGAAGACUUAAUCAA